UACGUAGGGCGCAAGCGUUGUCCGGAAUUAUUGGGCGUAAAGAGCUCGUAGGUGGUUUGUCGCGUUGUUCGUGAAAACUCACAGCUUAACUGUGGGCGUGCGGGCGAUACGGGCAGACUGGAGUACUGCAGGGGAGACUGGAAUUCCUGGUGUAGCGGUGGAAUGCGCAGAUAUCAGGAGGAACACCGGUGGCGAAGGCGGGUCUCUGGGCAGUAACUGACGCUGGAGGUGCGAAAGCGUGGGAGCAAACGGG
rnacentral:rRNA from 1 species